CAGUAGCCGCGGUAAUACGUAGGGUGCGAGCGUUAAUCGGAAUCACUGGGCUUAAAGCGCGUGUAGGCGGAUAGGAGCGUCGGCCUCUGAAAUCCCCCGGCUCAACCGGGGAAGUGGAGCCGAAACGACCCGUCUGGAGGGACGUAGGGGGACCUGGAACUUCCGGUGGAGCGGUGAAAUGCGUUGAGAUCGGAAGGAACGCCCGUGGCGAAAGCGAGGUCCUGGACGUCUGCUGACGCUGAGACGCGAAAGCCAGGGGAGCGAACGGGAUUAGAUACCCCCGUAGUCCCUGUCUCUUAUA
rnacentral:rRNA from 1 species